AUUGAACGCUGGCGGCAGGCCUAACACAUGCAAGUCGAACGGUAACACGAUGCGGCUUUCUGCUUCGCUGUGGAGUGUCGGACGGGUGAGUAAUGUCUGUCGAACUCCCCGAUUUCGGGGGGGAACUACUGGAAACGGUAACGAUAAUCGCAUAUCCGCCCUACGCCAAAAAGCGGGAGCUUUUCGCCCCUUGCGCGCUGAUAUGCCCCGAUGUGGGAUUAGCUAGUGGGUGGGGUAAGGGCUCACCAAGGCGACGAUCCGUAGCUGGUCUGAGAGGAUGAUCAGCCACACUGGAACUGAGACACGGUCCAGACUCCUACGGGAGGCAGCAGUGGGGAAUAUUGGACAAUGGGCGCAAGCCUGAUGCAGCCAUGCCGCGUGUGUGAAGAAGGCCUUCGGGUUGUAAAGUACUUUUAGCGGGGAAGAAGAGAGUCAGGUUAAUACCUCGCCUUACUGACGUUACCCAAAGAAGAAGCACCGGCUAACUUCGUG
rnacentral:rRNA from 1 species